rnacentral:tRNA from 1 species
CGGGGUGUAGCGCAGUCCGGCUAGCGCAUCUGCUUUGGGAGCAGGGGGUCGGAGGUUCAAAUCCUCUCACCCCGACCA